rnacentral:lncRNA from 1 species
CUUUUCAAUUGGUGCAUUUCCAGCUGUAAGUAUUUGUUGUGUUUGCUUUGAAUUAAUAUGGUCAAUACAGAAAACGGUAUCCCUUUAUAUCCUUUGUAUGAAUCAGAUGUUGUUUUGUACUUUUCUGUGGUUCUUAUCUAGACUUCUUAUAUAUAGUUUAAUAUCUCAUUUCCAUAUAAGGUAUGGAAGGUCAUAAUUGAUGGCUCUCUAUAUAUUUAUGGCCUCAUG